UUUCUGGAAACGAGGAAUCCCUGGGGAAAACCCCCAUGGGGAAGGCGUGGAAAGAGCACCGAUUUGGGAGGUGGAGUCCUGGAGCCUGACGGAGCAAGGGGUUUCCUGUGGGCGGUGGGUUUCUUGAGCCACGAGAGGAGAGAAGUACAUCUAGCAGGGCCUCCUGUGCUGCUCCGAGAGAUUUGGAUUUUGUUCUGAAAGCUGAAUUCGGUAGAUGCGUAUCUUAGAUACCCUGUCGUGUAGAAAAAAGCGUUGGACAGUGAGCAACCACCCUCGGGAGCUCAUUGCAGUAAUUCCCAGGAGAAUUGCUGAGGGUUUUAAAGAGUGGCUGGCAGUGGGAGAGGAGAGGAGAGGAGAGAAGAGAGGAGGGGAGGGCAGGGGAGGGGAGUUGAGUUGUGAAUUGGUAUGGAGAUGGAAUACACCAUACCCAGUAUUGUUCAGUAAGAAUGUAUUGAAGAGGACUCUGUUCCUGGAAUUUUCCAACCUAUGACUAUCUGUUAAGGAAAGGCCCAGCAUUUUUUUUUUUUAAACUGCAGAUGUUGCUUUGUAGAUGGUAAUCGAAUCCCAGUUUAUGGUGGGGAAAUGGUCACAUGUAUCAAAGGUGUUGAGAUCAGGAUGAUUAAACAUACUGGACUCUUGUAACCCAGUAGAUGCAAAUUAAACCCAUACUUAGAUCACUUUCUAUCCAUCAGAUUAGAAAUAAUAAAGUUUGAGGAGGAGCAAGAUGGGAGACGCUGAAGAGGGUGCUUUUCGGCAGGCAGGACCCUCCACUGCCCCAAUUUCGUUCAGCUUCAUUCGCACGGCUGCCCGGAGACGGCUGGCAGACCCGGGAGAUGGCCUGGGUGCGGCUCUCAAAGAGAACGGUUUCUUGAUUGUGGAAGGAAGGAAAUUGCAGAGUGUUAAUCCCUCAGAAGCCCCCAGGGAACUUGUCGUCCCUUUGAUUCAAAAUGGCCCUGGAAGACUGCCACCAACCCAGGCUCCUGGCCCAUCUGCUGAGGCCAUGGUGGAUGGGGUGCUGUCCCAGGCUGUGAAGGAGCUCAUGGAGGAAUCCGAGAAGUCUCUGGAGGAGAAAGAGAAUGAGGGUGUUGACCCCAUACUCCCUCUCUCCAUGAUCCAGAACAGAUGCAUACCCAGCGAGGAAGGGGCAGACAGCGAGCCCUGGCCCGAGACAGUACCCAAAGAGGCAGAUUAUGAGGCAGUCCCUGUGGAGGCUUAUGGGCUGGCCAUGUUGCAGGGCAUGGGCUGGAAACCUGGCCAGGGCAUCGGCUGCACCUUCAAUGAAGUGGUGAAGCCCCGUGUCAACACACCGAGGCCGAAAGGGUUAGGGCUAGGCACCAGCCUGAUUGAGCUCCAGGCCCUGGCCCCCACCAGCCCCCUCCGCCUGCUGAGGCCAGAUGAGGAACACGAGAAAGAUAAGGAAGACCAGCCUCAAGGACUGGCACCUGGAAGAGCUGUGGUGGUGCUUGCUGGCCCUCACCGAGGCCUCUAUGGUAAGGUGGAAGGCGUCGAUCCUGACAAUGUCCAGGCCAUCGUUCGUUUGGCCGUGGGGAACCGCAUGGUGACUGUGCAGGAGUACUUCCUCAGGACUGUUUCCCAGCAGGAAUUUGACAAGAACUCCUUGGAUCUCAGCCAGGUGAGCAAAACUUCUCCAGGGGGAACAGCCUUGUCCCGGAAGGCCUUCCAGGAUCCAGACCUCCCCGCCCAGUGGGGAGCGGAAGAGAGGAAGAGGAAACACCUUCCAGGCCUGCAAGAGGAGCUGACAUCCAAGAGGGUGAAAGCAGCUUCCAGGAGGCAGCACUGGUUGCACAGGGACCUGCGUGUGCGGUUCGUGGACAAACUGCACAAGUAUUAUAACACCAAGAUGACAAUUGAAGAUGUCUUCAGUCCAGAUACUUGUAUAUGUCAGACAGAUGAAGGCCAGGUCCUGGAAGGCGUCAGGGAAGACAUGCUGGAGACCCUUGUCCCCAAGGUCCAGGGCAGCCGAGUGAUGGUGGUGCUGGGGCCACAGGCUGGAAGGGUGGGCCAUCUGCUGCGCUGGGACAGAGAGCAGAGCCAGGCCGUGGUUCACCUGCAGAGAGAGAACCGGCUGGUGGAGCUGCACUAUGAUGCUGUCUGCGAGUACGUGGGUCCCCGUGACUCAGACGAAGACUGACCCAUGGAUUCACUCCAUUCCCCAGGCAGUUCCCAGUUCUGUCCUGUGGAAAGCCUGUCUUUGUGAAGGUGGGGAGGUCAUUGUUCCGUCCUGCACGUGCAGCCCUGGAUGGUACAAAAUGGAUAGACCAGAAGAGAGGCUAGAAGCAAACCUAGUAUUUACCAGCAUUGAUAUAAAAUAAAAACCAUUUUAAAAAAA